rnacentral:rRNA from 1 species
UGGUGCAUGGUUGUCGUCAGCUCGUGUCGUGAGAUGUUGGGUUAAGUCCCGCAACGAGCGCAACCCUUAUUGUUAGUUGCUACGCAAGAGCACUCUAGCAAGACUGCCGUUGACAAAACGGAGGAAGGUGGGGAUGACGUCAAAUCAUCAUGCCCUUUAUGACCUGGGCUACACACGUACUACAAUGGCGGCGAACAGAGGGGAGCAAAGAGGUGACUCAGAGCAAAUCCCAAAAAGCCGUCUCAGUUCAGAUUGCAGGCUGCAACUCGCCUGCAUGAAGACGGAAUUGCUAGUAAUCGCGAAUCAGCAUGUCGCGGUGAAUACGUUCCCGGGCCUUGUACACACCGCCCGUCAAACCAUGAGAGUUGGGAAUACCCGAAGUCUGUAAUCUAACCGCAAGGAGGAUGCAGCCGAAGGUAGGCUCAAUGAUUGGGGUUAAGUCGUAACAAGGUAGCCGUAUCGGAAGGUGCGGCUGGAUCACCUC